GAAUAUUGGACGAUGGGCGAAACCCUGAUCCAGCCAUUCCGCGUGAGUGAAGAAGGCCUUCGGGUUGUAAAGCUCUUUCGGACGGAACGAAACGGUUAGGACCAAUACUCCUGACUAAUGACGGUACCGUAAGAAGAAGCACCGGCUAACUACGUGCCAGCAGCCGCGGUAAUACGGAGGGAGCUAGCGUUGUUCGGAAUUACUGGGCGUAAAGCGCGCGUAGGCGGCUUUGUAAGUUAGAGGUGAAAGCCCGGGGCUCAACCCCGGAAUUGCCUUUAAGACUGCAUCGCUUGAAUCCGGGAGAGGUGAGUGGAAUUCCGAGUGUAGAGGUGAAAUUCGUAGAUAUUCGGAAGAACACCAGUGGCGAAGGCGGCUCACUGGACCGGCAUUGACGCUGAGGUGCGAAAGCGUGGGGAGCAAAC
rnacentral:rRNA from 1 species